AUAGAAACCUUCAAGGAGUCCUUUAUGUUAUGAUGAGUCUUACUGACCUUUGCUUCAACCAUGCCCACAUGUAAUAGUCGAGAGGGCUGCAGUCUGGGCUGGACUGAGGCCACAAGUCAGGUCAGGUUAUUGAAAAGUCAGGCCAAUUGGCAAUAUCGCUAUCCAGCAAUCAGAAAAUGGCUGCCAUAUAACAUCAUUUUCCGAUUGAUUUUGUUCUUUUUGGUCAACCGCUAUUGGUUCCUGAGGACAAAAGAUUUGUACCCCAAAUCCUUUUGCACUGCCAGGCUCAUUGUUGAUCUUGCCAC
rnacentral:lncRNA from 1 species